UUUUCAUUGGUUUUUAUCAGCAUCCUGUUCUGAUAAAAGUUAGUGAAAAAAGCUUCACUAACGUAACAACUCGCCGUGCUUGAUCACCGAGUUGGUACGUUUUUUU
rfam:Enterococcus italicus DSM 15952 genomic scaffold SCAFFOLD1, whole genome shotgun sequence.